UACGGGAGUGGCAAGCGUUAUCCGGAAUUAUUGGGCGUAAAGCGUCCGCAGGCGGCCUUGAAAGUCUGUUGUUAAAGCGUGGAGCUCAACUCCAUUUCAGCAAUGGAAACUACAAGGCUAGAGUGUGGUAGGGGCAGAGGGAAUUCCCGGUGUAGCGGUGAAAUGCGUAGAUAUCGGGAAGAACACCAGUGGCGAAGGCGCUCUGCUGGGCCAUAACUGACGCUCAUGGACGAAAGCCAGGGGAGCGAAAGGGAUUAGAUACCCGCGUA
rnacentral:rRNA from 1 species